rnacentral:tmRNA from 1 species
GGGGAUGACAGGCUUCGACAAUGUGAUUUCUGGGGUUGCCUUGUUUCUGUUCGGGAUGGCAUCGGUUCCCGUACCCACUUGAUGCAUCUUUAUCUGCAAAAUCAGAUAUUCUCGCAACCGUGCGUCGCUCGCUUGAUAAGUUCGCUUUUCAGCCUGCAUUCGCAUUGGCUGCAUAAGUUCGCCCUAGCGCGAACACGUCACUUUCCCGACUUCCACUACGGAAAACUGGCGUCACUUAGUGGAACGGAUUACUCCUUGGUGUGAGAGUAACUCUGUAUUAGCACUGACCCUCUCUAUCUAUUUUUCGUCUGAUCUUUAUGGAUAGAGUGAUCUAGAACAGACAUAACAGUAUGAACAGCUGCUUCACAUAUUGGACCCGGGUUCAAUUCCCGGCAUCUCCACCA